rnacentral:rRNA from 1 species
AAGGAACGCUGGCAGCGUGCAUAACACAUGCAAGUCGAACGCGAAAGGAUCCUUCGGGAUUUGGACGAGUGGCGAACGGGUGAGGAACACGUAAGAAUCUACCUUUCGGUUGGGGAUAACUUCUGGAAACGGGAGCUAAUACCCAAUAUGCUGUGGAGUGAAAGAAUUUCGCCGAGAGACGAUCUUGCGUCUGAUUAGCUUGUUGGGGUGGUAACGGCACCCCAAGGCGACGAUCAGUAGCUGGUCUGAGAGGAUGGACAGCCACAUUGGGACUGAGACACGGCCCAGACUCCUACGGGAGGCAGCAGUGGGGAAUUUUCCGCAAUGGACGAAAGUCUGACGGAGCGACGCUGCGUGAAGGAUGAAGGCCCGUGGGUUGUAAACUUCUUUUCUCGAAGAAGAAAAAAAUGACGGUAUUCGAGGAAUAAGCAUCGGCUAACUCUGUGCCAGCAGCCGCGGUAAGACAGAGGAUGCAAGUGUUAUUCGGAAUGAUUGGGCGUAAAGAGUCUGUAGGCGGUUUAGAAAGUCUUUUGUGAAAUACUUCAGCUCAACUGAGGCUCCGCAAAAGAAACUUCUAGACUUGAGGAAAGUAGAGGUACAGGGAAUUUCCGGUGGAGCGGUGAAAUGCGUAGAUAUCGGAAGGAACACCAAUAUGGCGAAGGCACUGUACUGGGCUUUUCCUGACGCUCA